rnacentral:rRNA from 1 species
AGCAUCUAUACGGUGAACUGCGAAUGGCUCAUUAAAUCAGUUAUCGUUUAUUUGAUAGUACCUUACUACUUGGAUAACCGUGGUAAUUCUAGAGCUAAUACAUGCUAAAAACCCCGACUUCGGAAGGGGUGUAUUUAUUAGAUAAAAAACCAAUGCCCUUCGGGGCUCCUUGGUGAUUCAUAAUAACUUAACGAAUCGCAUGGCCUUGUGCCGGCGAUGGUUCAUUCAAAUUUCUGCCCUAUCAACUUUCGAUGGUAGGAUAGUGGCCUACCAUGGUUUCAACGGGUAACGGGGAAUUAGGGUUCUAUUCCGGAGAGGGAGCCUGAGAAACGGCUACCACAUCCAAGGAAGGCAGCAGGCGCGCAAAUUACCCAAUCCCGACACGGGGAGGUAGUGACAAUAAAUACUGAUACAGGGCUCUUUUGGGUCUUGUAAUUGGAAUGAGUACAAUUUAAAUCCCUUAACGAGGAACAAUUGGAGGGCAAGUCUGGUGCCAGCAGCCGCGGUAAUUCCAGCUCCAAUAGCGUAUAUUAAAGUUGUUGCAGUUAAAAAGCUCGUAGUUGAACCUUGGGCCUGGCUGGCCGGUCCGCCUCACCGCGUGCACUGGUCCGGCCGGGUCUUUCCUUCUGGGGAGCCGCAUGCCCUUCACUGGGUGUGUCGGGGAACCAGGACUUUUACUUUGAAAAAAUUAGAGUGUUCAAAGCAGGCCUAUGCUCGAAUACAUUAGCAUGGAAUAAUAGAAUAGGACGUGUGGUUCUAUUUUGUUGGUUUCUAGGACCGCCGUAAUGAUUAAUAGGGAUAGUCGGGGGCAUCAGUAUUCAAUUGUCAGAGGUGAAAUUCUUGGAUUUAUUGAAGACUAACUACUGCGAAAGCAUUUGCCAAGGAUGUUUUCAUUAAUCAGUGAACGAAAGUUAGGGGAUCGAAGACGAUCAGAUACCGUCGUAGUCUUAACCAUAAACUAUGCCGACUAGGGAUCGGGCGAUGUUAUCUUUUUGACUCGCUCGGCACCUUACGAGAAAUCAAAGUCUUGGGU